rnacentral:rRNA from 1 species
GACGAACGCUGGCGGCGUGCUUAACACAUGCAAGUCGAACGGAAAGGCCCUGCUUGCAGGGUACUCGAGUGGCGAACGGGUGAGUAACACGUGGGUGAUCUGCCCUGCACUUCGGGAUAAGCCUGGGAAACUGGGUCUAAUACCGGAUAGGAGCCAUUUUUAGUGUGAUGGUUGGAAAGUUUUUUCGGUGUAGGAUGAGCUCGCGGCCUAUCAGCUUGUUGGUGGGGUAAUGGCCUACCAAGGCGGCGACGAGUAGCCGGCCUGAGAGGGUGGACGGCCACAUUGGGACUGAGAUACGGCCCAGACUCCUACGGGAGGCAGCAGUGGGGAAUAUUGCACAAUGGGCGCAAGCCUGAUGCAGCGACGCCGCGUGGGGGAUGACGGCCUUCGGGUUGUAAACUCCUUUCGCUAGGGACGAAGCUUUUUGUGACGGUACCUAGAUAAGAAGCACCGGCUAACUACGUG